rnacentral:rRNA from 1 species
AAUUCCAGCUCCAAUAGCGUAUAUUAAAGUUGUUGCGGUUAAAAAGCUCGUAGUUGGUUCUGCGUGCCGCGCUGUCGGUUCGCCGCCUGUCGGUGUAACUGGCAUGUCGCGGCAUGUCCUGUCGGUGGUGAACGGAGUCCACAAUGCUACAUAGGCUUCAUUGCCGAUGUUAGCAUCGUGUGUACUUCCGUUGGCCGAUCUCUCCUACUUCGGUGCUCUUAAACGAGUGUCGAGGUAGGCCGACACGUUCACUUUGAACAAAUUAGAGUGCUUAAAGCAGGCUGAAAUAUCUGCCUGAAUAGUGGUGCAUGGAAUGAUAAAACAGGACCUCGGUUCUAUUUUGUUGGUUUUAGGAAUAUGAGGUAAUGAUCAAUGUGGACUGGCGGGGGCAUUCGUAUUGCGACGUUAGAGGUGAAAUUCUUGGAUCGUCGCAAGACGCACUAGAGCGAAAGCAUUUGCCAAGUAUGUCUUAAUUGAUCAAGAACGAAAGUUAGAGGUUCGAAGGCGAUCAGAUACCGCCCUAGUUCUAACCAUAAACGAUGCCAGCCAGCGAUCCGCCGAUGUUCCUUU